GAUGAACGCUGGCGGCGUGCCUAAUACAUGCGAGUCGAGCGAACGGACGAGAAGCUUGCUUCUCUGAUGUUAUCGGCGGACGGGUGAGUAACACGUGGAUAACCUACCUAUAAGACUGGGAUAACUUCGGGAAACCGGAGCUAAUACCGGAUGAUAUUUUGAACCUCAUUGUUCAAAAGUGGAAGACGGUCUUUCUGUCACUUAUAGAUGGAUCCGCGCUGCAUUAGCUAGUUGGUAAGGUAACGGCUUACCAAGGCAACGAUGCAUAGCCGACCUGAGAGGGUGAUCGGCCACACUGGCACUGAGACACGGUCCAGACUCUGACGGGAGGCAGCAGUAGGGAAUCUUCCGCAAUGGGCGAAAGCCUGACGGAGCAACGCCGCGUGAGUGAUGAAGGUCUUCGGAUCGUAAAACUCUGUUAUUCGGGAAGAACAUAUGUGUAAGUAACUGUGAACAUAUUGACGGUACCUAAUCAGAAAGCCACGGCUAACUCCGUG
rnacentral:rRNA from 1 species